CCCUGCCAUUUGUACACACCGCCCGUCGCACCUACCGAUUGGAUGGUCCGGUGAAGACUCGGGAUUGUGGCUGGUGCCUUUACUGGUGUCUGCCGCGAGAACUUGUCUAAACCUUAUCAUCUAGAGGA
rnacentral:rRNA from 1 species